ACACAUUUGCACACCAAAUCUCAUCAAGCGAAAACCUCUAUCUCUCAUUUCCCCUUUUCCCCCUUUUUUCUCUCUCUAAAUUCUCCAUUUUCUUCGAUCCUUUUUUUAAUUUGUAAGGUUUAAUUAAUUAAUCGGAUUUUGAUAUGAUUUAAUUUUAGAUUUAUUUUUCGAUCUAUGAUUACUGGGGGGAAAAUCGGUUAAAAUUGAAUCGGUAAUUCGGAAAAAUUGAAUCGGACGGUUGUGAUUGAUUGAUGAAAGUUGAAUUGAUUGAUUAUUGAUAAGGAGGUGGAAAAAUGCCAGGGUUAACGGCGCAGAGAAAUGAUGAGGAAAAUGAGAAUGGUUGUAGUAAAUCGUUAUCGAGUAGUGGAUUUUGGUCAAAGCAUCGUGAGGAUAUUAGCUAUAAUCAGCUGCAGAAGGUAGUAAUUUUAUUGAUUUUUUUUUGUUUUUUUUUUUGCUGAGUUUUAUUAGUGAAAUUUUUAGUAUUAAUCAGCUUUAGAAGGUAGUAGUUUUAUUGGAUUUUUUUGUUGUUUUUGAUGAGUAUUGAUUAGUGAAAUUUUUAGCUGUAAUCAGUUUCCGAAGGUAGUAAUCUGUAUUGGAUUUUUAUUUAAUUUUCUUUUUGUUUUUUUCGUGAGUUUUGAUUAGUGAAAUUUUAGUUAUAAUCAGCUGCAGAAGGUAGCAAUUUUAUUGGUAAUUUGUGAAUACUUUUUGUUGAAUUUAUUUGUUUUUGUUGUUUUUGAUGGAUUUUGGUUAGUGAAAUUUUAGUUAUAAUCAGCUUGAGAAGGUAGUAAUUUGAUUUUAUUGACAAUUUGGGAAUAUUUUUUGUUGAAUUUAUUGUUUUUUGGGGUUAUUUUUGAUGAGUUUUGAUUAGUGAAUUUUAGUUAGGUGUGGAGUUUUUGAGAAAUUAAUUGUUUGCUGGAGUUAUAAGUGAUAUAUGUAGUUGCUGGCUCACAGGGGAGCAUAACUGUUUGGAGCUCCCAAGGAGGGUUAAGAAAAUGUAUAUACGCAGUGGUUUUUGAUUGAGCUGUGCGAUUGUCAGUAAAUGUAGUUUAUAGGUUUUACAGGUUAGUGAGCUACUGUUUAUUGAGUUUUGAUUCAUUUAAUUUAGUUAUGUUGAUUCUUUUGAGAGAUUAAUUGUUUUUUGGAGUUUCAAGUGAUAUAUGUAGUUGGUCGGAUGGUAAGUACCCCUCGGCUUCAACCUUAAGGUUGUGAGUUCGAGUCACCAUGGGAGCAAAAAAGGUUGGGAGCUUCUAGGGAAGGGUAAAAAUAAAUAAAAAAUAAAAAUAAUAUAUCUGUAGAUGGUUUUUUGAUUGAGCUAGGUGAUUGUUGGUGCAUGUUUGUAGGUUUACAGGUUAAUGAGCUACUCUACUGUUUAUUGUUUUUGUUGAGUUUUGAUUAGUGAAUUUUUAGUUAUGUUUGAAGAUUAUGAGAGAUUAAUUGUUUUCUGGAGUUUCAAGUGAUAUAUGUAGUUGCUUGGAUGGUAAGCAAACCUCGCCUCCAAUCCUAAGGUUGUGAGUACGGGUCGCCAAGGGAGCAAAAAGGUUGGGAGCUCCUAAGGAGGGGUAACAAUAGAAAGUAUAUGUAUGUAUGCAUAUGGGUUUUAAUUGAGCUAUGCAAUUGUCGGUAAAUGUUGUUAGUGAGUUUUAUAGGUUAAUGAGCUACUGUUUGUUGCGAGCAUUUGACUGGACAUGGAGUUGUGAUGUUAAUUUGAUUUAUAAAGUGUACUUGGUGUAAUUGAAGAAAAUAUUAAUGUAAUAGUAGGUAAAAGGUUAUUUUGGUAGAGAAGAGAUCAAAUUAGUGGGUUCAAUUUGAAUUGUUUAAUGAAAUGUGAAAGUUGUGUAAAAAUGAAGCAGUUUUGAACAAAUUUCAUAUGUUCCAAAAUGGAAAGAAUGUCAUUGUUAUGUAAGCUGGACACAAUAAAAAAAUAGGGGGUUGAAUUAAUCACUUUCAAUAAUUUUGGAUAAUGUUUGUAUAUUACACUGAAUCUGUAUCAGAGAGGCUUUCAUGAAACUACCGUUAAUUACAUAUCAAUCUUGCGAACCUAUCUUAUUUCUCUUGUCCCUUUUGCUGAUUAGUUCAGUUCGAUACACACUCAAACAGUCAUUAUAAUUCGAAGUGAGAUUAGUCAAAAUGCAGCAGCGGCACAUUUAGAGAGAUGUUCAUCUAUGAAUUAAGUGCUAUAUAGUAUUUUGCUGGGAUGGGUUGGUUACCUUAAGCCCCUAGGGUUUUGAUCUAGUGGUAGGGAUGCAACGUGAAAUGUGUGGAUUGAGUGCACAUCAUGAGUUUGGGCCUUCCCGUUGACACGCAUUUGGUAUUUAAAUGGAGCAGUGU
rnacentral:lncRNA from 1 species